rnacentral:lncRNA from 1 species
GUGUGUGUGAUUGAACCCAUUCUAAGCACUUGUGGCAGCAAGCAGGAUUUAAUCAAUCUGAUUUUUUCUCUAACGACGACACUAUAAAUUGGAUCAAGAACAGGGUGAUGGGGCCUUACUAUUUCCUUUUUGCAGCAACAAUUUGGUGGGCAUGGAGGAAUCGAAACUUGAUGUGCUUAGGAAACAAGAACCGGUUGAACACUAAGUUAUCCUUCAACAUUCAAGGUAUGGUUGAUACCCUCAAAGCUUCUUAUCCUUUCAUCUCUAGUACUACUCAUGAAGCCCAAUUCAUCAAAUGGAACAACAAUAAUCAUUCUUGUGUCAUCCUUAAUGUUGAUGGAAGUUGCCUUAGAUCUCCUAUAA